rnacentral:lncRNA from 1 species
AGCACUCACACAAACUGAAGGGCCCGGUCUCACUCCUACCGUGCCCCCCACAACAGCCCUGAGUCUGUUUCCAGGUGGUGGGCGAGAGGGGUUUGAAAAUUUGCCCCAGGCUAUCCGCCUCCCAGCUGGGCAAGAAAAGGGCGUGGUUGUUCCCCCACUGAGGAGUCUGCACACCGGAUUUGCAUCUUCCCCUGAGUUCUGGCCUGGAGGCUUCUCGCCCCUGCAAAUUGUUACAAAGUUCAGCUAGAGGGUUCCUUCUUCCUGUGGAGUUUUACCUUCUGCUCCUCUGGCCACCCUCCUGAUGGAUCCCUGUGGUGCCAGGCAGGAAUGACCUGCUUAAGGACCCAGCGAGCUCCCAGGACCUUUCUGCUGCUUCCUCUACCCGUAUAUUUUGCUUGCUUCUCUACAUUGACUCAGCUCCAGCGAUUCCUGAGGAAUCUCAUCCACACUACCCUAUGGACUAAAAGGAAAAGCUCUUCAUGUGGUGUUAGCACGGAGAUGAGAAAGAGAGAAAGACAACAUCAUGCUUUGCUGUCUGUGUGUGAACUGAGUAACAGCUGUGAAGGAUCAGUCACCAAAAGACUUUGAAAGAAGAGGCUUGAUUGGUCACGGUAAUGAUGCUCCCCUGGCCAUGGAAGUUUAAUUGGGAGAAAAGAACAUCUGCUUAUACGAAAACAUAUUAUAUUCAGCCAUCCCUGCCCUGACUUUGGCCUUUAAAAACAGUGGCAUUAAUUAUCUCAACAAAUGAAUCUUCGGGAUAAAAAUAAUCUAAAUAUUAUUUUACGCUUACUACAUAUUUGCAACGUGCUAAGCUCUUUAUGGUUGCUACCACAAAAAACAUUUAUAAUAUGAGGUUGUUUCCGUAUUUUGGCUAUUGUGAAUAGUGCUGCAAUAAACAUGGAAGUGCUGAUAUAUCUUUGAGAUCUUGACUUCAAACAAAAGAAGAAAAUCUUGCAAUAUAUGACAACACGGAUUAACCUGGAGGACAUUGUGCUUAGUGAAGUUAGCCAGUCACAGACUGACAAGUACUGCACGAUUCCACUUAUGAAGACUACAGUUCCUAUCUUCACAGGUGGCUGUUAGCUCUAAAUGAACUCAUUUAUUUUGAAAGCAUGAUUUAAAGUAUAGUUUUAAACUAUAAGCAUUUCAGAAGUGAUGACCCAUGACUCAAAUCUCAAAAAUAAAUGCUACAGUUCACAGUUGGAAUAUGGACACAAGAAAAAUAAUAGAUGAUGCCACUGAAAGGUAAACAUACCAUUCUGACAUGCAUGAAAAUGAAACGACAAAUUGAUACACGCAGUGCUUGGAAUGGAUGGAGUCCUUCUAAUGAGUGAUUACCUGUGGUAUAACUAUAUUGAUUGUGUUUGUACAUGUCAAAUGGGGCUGGCGAGGAUGAACUUGAAGAAAUCAAUCUUGGAACCUGCUAGGACAGCAGCCUCCUGGUUUCACAGUACUAAAUCAUGACUUCAAAAUUUUGAAGUAAAAGAAAACUGCAAAACUUUGUAAAGUGGCAGCUCUAAAUAUCAGUUGGACUGGUACUGAAGAAAAAACAGGACAAAAAGGCCAGAAGGGUA